UACGGGGGGUGCGAGCGUUAUUCGGAAUUAUUGGGCGUAAAGGGCGCGUAGGCGGUAGAUCAAGUCAGAUGUGAAAGCCCGGAGCUUAACUCCGGAAGUGCAUUUGAAACUGGUCGACUUGAGUAUGGGAGAGGAAAGCGGAAUUCCUGGUGUAGAGGUGAAAUUCGUAGAGAUCAGGAGGAACACCUGUGGCGAAGGCGGCUUUCUGGACCAAUACUGACGCUGAGGCGCGAAGGCGUGGGGAGCAAACAGG
rnacentral:rRNA from 1 species